GUGCUCACUUCAGCAGCACAUAUGCUAAAACUGGAACAAUACAGAGAAAAGAUUAGCAUGGCCCCUGCACAGGGAUGACAUGCAAAUUCAUGAAGCAUUCCAUAUUUUU
rnacentral:snRNA from 1 species